GUCACUAUAGCUUAGUGGUUGAGCAUACGAUUGCAAAUUGAUGUCUUGUAUCGUGAGGUCCCGUGUUCGAACCACGGUAGUGACU